UGGGGAAUCUUGGACAAUGGGGGCAACCCUGAUCCAGCCAUGCCGCGUGAGCGAAGAAGGCCUUAGGGUUGUAAAGCUCUUUCAGCUGGGAAGAUAAUGACGGUACCAGCAGAAGAAGCCCCGGCUAACUCCGUGCCAGCAGCCGCGGUAAUACGAAGGGGGCUAGCGUUGUUCGGAAUUACUGGGCGUAAAGCGCGCGUAGGCGGAUUGAUCAGUCAGGGGUGAAAUCCCGGGGCUUAACCCCGGAACUGCCUUUGAUACUGUCAAUCUAGAGAUCGAGAGAGGUGAGGGGAAUUCCGAGUGUAGAGGUGAAAUUCGUAGAUAUUCGGAGGAACACCAGUGGCGAAGGCGGCUCACUGGCUCGAUACUGACGCUGAGGUGCGAAAGCGUGGGGAGCAAACAGGAUUAGAUACCCCCGUAGUCC
rnacentral:rRNA from 1 species